UGAGUAAAGUGGCGUACGGGUGAGUAACACGUGGGUAAUCUACCUCCGGGUGGGGAAUAACGCUGGGAAACCGGCGCUAAUACCGCAUAUCCUCGAGAGAGGAAAGCAGCAAUGCGCCUGGAGAGGAGCCCGCGGCCGAUUAGCUAGUUGGUGAGGUAACGGCCCACCAAGGCUAAGAUCGGUAGCCGGCCUGAGAGGGCACACGGCCACACUGGCACUGAAACACGGGCCAGACUCCUACGGGAGGCAGCAGUGGGGAAUCUUGCACAAUGGGGGAAACCCUGAUGCAGCGACGCCGCGUGAGCGAUGAAGCCCUUCGGGGUGUAAAGCUCUUUCGGCAGGGAAGAUGAUGACGGUACCUGCAGAAGCAGCUGCGGCUAACUACGUGCCAGCAGCCGCGGUAAUACGUAGGCAGCGAGCGUUGUUCGGAGUUACUGGGCGUAAAGGGUGUGUAGGCGGUCCUCCAAGUUUGGUGUGAAAUCUCCCGGCUCAACCGGGAGGGUGCGCCGAAAACUGGAGGGUUAGAGUGCGGGAUGGGAGAGUGGAAUUCCUGGUGUAGCGGUGAAAUGCGUAGAUAUCAGGAGGAACACCGGUGGUGUAGACGGCUCUCUGGACCGUAACUGACGCUGAGACACGAAAGCGUGGGUAGCAAACAGGAUUAGAUACCCUGGUAGUCCACGCCCUAAACGAUGCAUAUUUGGUGUAGGUCAUUCAGUUGAUCUGUGCCGGAGCUAACGCGUUAAAUAUGCCGCCUGGGGAGUACAGUCGCAAGGCUGAAACUCAAAGGAAUUGACGGGGGCCCGCACAAGCGGUGGAGCAUGUGGUUCAAUUCGACGCAACGCGAAGAACCUUACCUGGGCUCGAACGGCUUCUCAACGGCGGUGGAAACAUCGCUAUCCCGCAAGGGAGUGGAGUCGAGGUGCUGCAUGGCUGUCGUCAGCUCGUGUCGUGAGAUGUUGGGUUAAGUCCCGCAACGAGCGCAACCCUUGUCCUGUGUUGCUACCCGAAAGGGGCACUCGCAGGAGACCGCCAGCGAUAAGCUGGAGGAAGGUGGGGAUGACGUCAAGUCCUCAUGGCCUUUAUGUCCAGGGCUACACACGUGCUACAAUGGCCGGUACAAAGCGUUCCCAAGCCGCGAGGUGGAGGCAAUCGCAAAAAACCGGUCUCAGUUCGGAUUGCAGGCUGCAACUCGCCUGCAUGAAGCUGGAAUCGCUAGUA
rnacentral:rRNA from 1 species